rnacentral:tRNA from 1 species
UUUAAUAGAAGCCAAAUUUUGAGGCAAUUCACUGUUAAUGAAUUAAUUGAUAGUAUUAUCCUAUUAAAAC